AUUAUUUUUCAUAUAAUUGUUCUUUACAUACAUUUUACACUAUGGCACAAAAUAAUAAUACAUUGUUGAAAAAAAAAAAAAAAAUAAAAUAAAAUAAAAUAAAAUAAAAUAAAAUAAAAUAGUAGAAUAAUGAAAUGGUAGGAUAAUAUAAUAGAUAAAGUAAAAAAAAAAAAAUAAAUAAAAUAAAAUAUUUUUAUCAUUUUUAACAUCAUUUUUUACGUAAACUUUUUUUCUUUUUUUUUGAAGAUUUAAAAUGCAUAUAUCUUAGUAUAUAUUUUUAUAAUACAAUUUUUUUUUUUUUUUUUUAUUUUUUUUUUUUUUUUUCUUUAUAGAGUAGUGAUGUGCUUAUAAGUAAAACUAACAUUUUACACUGAACAAAUUGUUUUUAAAAACUACUAUUUGUUUAUUAAUUUGUCUUUACAUACAUGCAUACAUAUGCCUAUAUAUAUAUAUAUAUAUAUAUAUAUACGUAUAGUGUAGUUAUAUGCAAGUAAAUAAUAAACAUAAUUGUUGUUUUUAUGACACAAAUAGCUAACGAGUUCGAGUGGACGUUUAGAAUGUUAAAAUUUUAUAAUAUAAUAUAAGAAAAAGAGUAAACUUGUAAGAGCAACUGAAUGGGAGUAUGAAUAAUUGGAAAUAAUAAAAUAAAUAACUGAAUAAGUGUGUAUCUACACAAGUAACCGAAUAUAUAACUAAGUAAGCCAUCGCAUAAACAACUUAUUUCAUCAUGAACAUAGACAAGCUGCGAAAAGAGUUUUUUAACGAUGAGGCAGAUAACAACAGCCAUAUUAAUCAAAAACAAAAUAAUUUAAAAAAAUUUUUAACAGAUGAUAGUAAUACUAUUGAUUGGAAAAGCAAAAACAAUAUUAACAUUGGUACUACCACUACAACUACCACUACCACUACUACUACUACUACUACCAACAUGAGGAAUAAUAAUAAUAAUAACAUUAUUUAUGACAACAGUGCUAAUAUAAACUAUAAAACAAAAUGGUAUAAUAACUCUUGCGACUAUAGAAACAAGAACAACUGUAAGAAUAACAGCACUAAAAAUAAAGGAAAUAAAAAGAUGUAUUUAGUGAAUAGUUUAAAUAGUUUGAAAUCGAAAAAUAUAAAAUUUUCAUUAAAUAACCCUAGAAUAAGGGAAAAUCACAAUACUAUUAAACGAAUGAAAAAUAUUUAUACAUUUAAAAAUACAUAUGAUAAUAUAAUAAAUUUUGUUAAAGAUAAUAAAAAUGAUAUGGAAAAAAUUCGGUAUACAUUAUUUUUAAAAGCAUAUGAAAAUUCAGAAUUAUUACAAUUAAAAAAACAAAGCAAAAAAGAUAAAUUAACAUUAAAAAAAAAUAAUGAGUAUAUUGAUAUAAAAGACGCUAGAGAAAAGCAAAGAUCAAAGUUAUUAAAAGUAUUAAAGUCUUAUAAUAUAAAACAUGAUGUAUAUGCUAAUUUAAUCAAUUAUUGUGAUUAUUCUAUUUAUUAUCAAGACAAAGGUGUGUUAGAUGAGUUAGCAAAAAAACAAAACUGUGAUAACUUUUUUUACUAUCUUGUUAGUAAGGGUUUUUCAUAUAAUGAAAUAUUAAGAUUAUCAAGUGUAUUUGAAAAUAUGGCAUUUUUAAAGCAUUGUAAUUUAUGUAUGCUACCUUGGAUUUAUAAAAAAAUAAAUGAAUUUCACAAUUUCGACUUUUAUACUUUCUUAUUCUAUACAUUAGCAUAUUCUGUUUCUACUCUUACCUCUUCUUUUUAUUUAUUCAUUAAGUAUAAAACUAUAGCUAUUGUUAUACCAUUAUUUAUCACUUAUGUUUUAUUAGCCUUUCCUUUUUUAUUACAAGAGCUUAAUUGUGGUAGGUUCUUUUUAGAUGGUUGCAUUUCUUAUUUUUAUUCAAUUAGUAAUUUUAAUUUACCAAUCGCAGUAGUAUUAUUUAUACAAUAUAUAUUUUUAAUUAUAAAAUCAAUAGAUACAAUCAAUUUAAACUUCUCUUAUUUUUUUUAUUAUUUUAUGGAUCAAACACCACUAGUAUAUAAAAAUAUAGACAAAAAAAUUUGCUCCCAAUUCAAUAGAAGCCCACAAAUAUGUGACUUUUCUAGAAACAUAUGUUAUUACAACGAGCAAACUCAAAAUUGUGAGAUUAACGACAUCAAGUUGGUAAGUCAUUUAUGU
ensembl:lncRNA